rnacentral:lncRNA from 1 species
GGAUGGAGCUGGAAGCCAUUAUCUUCAGCAAAGUAACACAGGAGCAGAGGGGAAACAAGACAAGGACAGUUCCUGUAAACCUGUCUUUGGGCAUAGAGCUAGCAAGUAAAGGAGCCGCAGUUUGAAGCCUGAAAUUUGUGAACAUAUCCAAGAUCAUUAUCAAGACGUCAAAAGUCAACACUCUAACAUUUUCCACCAAGAACAAAUAAUCAUGUUAAC